UGGCGGGGCGGUUGGACGUCUAGAAUCGUGAAUUCGGUCAGGUUCGAAAGAAAGCAUCCGUAGCGAACCUCAGGUGGGUCAAUCGUCCUUCGGAGCAU
rnacentral:SRP_RNA from 1 species